CCUACGGGGCGCAGCAGUGGGGAAUAUUGGACAAUGGGGGGAACCCUGAUCCAGCCAUGCCGCGUGUGUGAAGAAGGCCCUCGGGUUGUAAAGCACUUUCAGUGAGGAAGAACGCCUGGUGGUUAAUACCCAUCAGGAAAGACAUCACUCACAGAAGAAGCACCGGCUAACUCCGUGCCAGCAGCCGCGGUAAUACGGAGGGUGCGAGCGUUAAUCGGAAUUACUGGGCGUAAAGCGCGCGUAGGUGGCUUGAUAAGCCGGUUGUGAAAGCCCCGGGCUCAACCUGGGAACGGCAUCCGGAACUGUCAAGCUAGAGUGCAGGAGAGGAAGGUAGAAUUCCCGGUGUAGCGGUGAAAUGCGUAGAGAUCGGGAGGAAUACCAGUGGCGAAGGCGGCCUUCUGGACUGACACUGACACUGAGGUGCGAAAGCGUGGGUAGCACACAGGAUUAGAUACCCCAGUAGUC
rnacentral:rRNA from 1 species